CGGGUCUUUAUGGCCCACCUCCCACCCGUGACUAUUGUACCUUGUUGCUUCGGCGGGCCCGCCAGCGUUGCUGGCCGCCGGGGGGCGACUCGCCCCCGGGCCCGUGCCCGCCGGAGACCCCAACAUGAACCCUGUUCUGAAAGCUUGCAGUCUGAGUGUGAUUCUUUGCAAUCAGUUAAAACUUUCAACAAUGGAUCUCUUGGUUCCGGCAUCGAUGAAGAACGCAGCGAAAUGCGAUAACUAAUGUGAAUUGCAGAAUUCAGUGAAUCAUCGAGUCUUUGAACGCACAUUGCGCCCCCUGGUAUUCCGGGGGGCAUGCCUGUCCGAGCGUCAUUGCUGCCCUCAAGCCCGGCUUGUGUGUUGGGCCCUCGUCCCCCGGCUCCCGGGGGACGGGCCCGAAAGGCAGCGGCGGCACCGCGUCCGGUCCUCGAGCGUAUGGGGCUUCGUCUUCCGCUCCGUAGGCCCGGCCGGCGCCCGCCGACGCAUUUAUUUGCAACUUGUUUUUUUCCAGGUUGACCUCGGAUCAGGUAGGGAUACCCGCUGAACUUAAGCAUAUCAAUAAGCGGAGGAA
rnacentral:rRNA from 1 species